rnacentral:rRNA from 1 species
UACGUAGGGGGCGAGCGUUGUCCGGAGUUACUGGGCGUAAAGCGCACGCAGGCGGUCUGCUAAGUUUGGAGUGACAGUUGGUGGCUUAACUGCCAAAGUGCUUCGAAAACUGACAGACUUGAGGGCUUCAGAGGGACACGGAAUUCCGGGUGGAGUGGUGAAAUGCGUAGAGAUCCGGAGGAACACCAAAGGCGAAGGCAGUGUCCUGGGGAGUACCUGACGCUGAGGUGCGAAAGCGUGGGGAGCAAACAGG